rnacentral:rRNA from 3 species
UACGGAGGAUCCGAGCGUUAUCCGGAUUUAUUGGGUUUAAAGGGAGCGUAGGCGGGUUGUUAAGUCAGUUGUGAAAGUUUGCGGCUCAACCGUAAAAUUGCAGUUGAUACUGGCGACCUUGAGUGCAACAGAGGUAGGCGGAAUUCGUGGUGUAGCGGUGAAAUGCUUAGAUAUCACGAAGAACUCCGAUUGCGAAGGCAGCUUACUGGAUUGUAACUGACGCUGAUGCUCGAAAGUGUGGGUAUCAAACAGG